AGGGACUGUUUCCUCAGAGGCGAAUGGGCGGAGCGCCCUCGGAGGGGGCCGGGCUGCGUACCAGGCACCUGGCGGGACGCUCCACAGGCCCCGGCUCAACCCUCAGCCGUCCCACACGGGAACCGUCUCAGAGCUUCCGACUUGCUCAAGGCCGCGCGCUAGUAGAAGGUGGAGGCGAUCUUCAAAAUGCCUGACUCACCCGCGGGCUGCCCCUCAAUAAAGGGGGGCACGGCCCCCUUAUCAAACACUUCCGUUCCGGGCCGGGUUAUGGGCCCUCGCGGAGCGCGGCAGCGGAGAACCCUUUGAAGAAGGUGGGCAGCUCACAGCCUCCAGAUGUGGACUCCCCUAAACAAGCCGAGAAUCUUGGCUGGCGGUGAGGGUCUUCCAGGGUCUGGGAGGACCCCUGCAGAUUCUCUCAGAUUCUCUGGGACCAAAAGAGCCUAAGGUUAUGCCGAUUCCAGGCCAGAGCCGGCUUCGAGCAGGACCAUGGGGAUGCCUCGCCAUGCUCUGGACAACUUAAUAUCCACUCUUUCAGUUCAACAGAGCGAUACACAUCUUUUUUGUUCCCACCGCCGCUGGGCCUUUUAGCAGGGGCCAGGUUUUGGCAACAGGAAUCAUACAGAUGGAGGGGGGGAAAGGUAGGGGCUCUAAGAAGCCCUGGGAGCAAAGAGAAAACGUAAGAUGAGAUGAAGGAAGGAGAAAUGGAAGUUUUAAUGGAAGAAGAUGAAAAGGCAAGAGGCCAAGGUUGCGUGGAAUGAGUAGCCGUGUGAAGAUGGAUCAGGCUCCCUCUUGCCUGCAGAGGGCAGAACUACAAUUCUCAGGAUUCUGUGCAAGCAGGAGUACCAGGGCCUGGACACACAUUUUGUACAACUUACUAGAGUGAUUAACAAAUAUGGCAGAAGUUCAGAGAAGGUGAAUCUCCAAGGAGGAGACUUGAGAGUGAAGAGGGCUUGCGGAGAGGGAUUCCAGUGGAGUUUGGUGUCUCCUGAGUCAUCAGCCAUUCCAACAUAACUGCCAGCUUUAAGUGGAUAAGUGCUCCAGGGAGCCUGCUCAAGGUUCCAACCAUCACUGCAUGAUGUGGCUGAGACAGCCCAGGACAGGAGUUUUCUUAAAUGGGGUCAUUUCCAGCUUGGCAUUGAAGAUUCCAAACUGUCCGCAUUCUCUAUUGGGUAAAGGGUAGAUUUUUAAUAUUUGGGUGCAAUGCUACCGAGGUAGCAGAGAACAAUUUUAAAAUGCAUGGGUUGCACUCCUGCUCACUCUGAAGGCUAAUGACAGCAUUCUGGUUUUCCAUUUUGAUGUGAGUAGUUUCUGGUACCACCGAAAGACGAUAGGAUGGAUUGUAAGUAGAAUGCAGCUGCAGGGUUAGUGCCCAAACUCUUCGGUAAGUCACUGAAACUUUGGAUAAAUCUGCUUUCUCAUCUUUAAAAUGGGAUUAAUAAAACCUUUUCUACUUGAUUCUUGAGGAUGUCAUAAAGCUAAAAUGAGGAAAUAUAAACUUUUAAAGAGCUUUGGAUUUAGGAAGAUCUUGGUUCAAAUCUACUUUUUCCACUUACAAGCUAUAUGACUUUGAGUUUAUUCAAAGUCUCUCUAGUCCUCAUGACUAUUUUGUAACUGCCAGAUUGUACUUCUUAAUUCCUUUAACUUUUUCACCCAGUUCUCCAAAGC